UACGGAGGGUGCAAACGUUGUUCGGAAUCACUGGGCAUAAAGCGUACGUAGGCGGCGUCGUAAGUGUCGGAUGAAAUCCCACGGCUUACCCGUGGAACGGUCCGGCAUACUGCGGUGCUAGAGGAUGGUAGAGGAGAGUGGAAUUCCUGGUGUAGCGGUGAAAUGCGCAGAUAUCAGGAAGAACACCUAUGGCGAAGGCAGCUCUCUGGGACGGUACUGACGCUGAGACGCGAAAGCGUGGGGAGCGAACAGG
rnacentral:rRNA from 1 species